UGGGGAAUAUUGCACAAUGGGCGCAAGCCUGAUGCAGCCAUGCCGCGUGUGUGAAGAAGGCCUUCGGGUUGUAAAGCACUUUCAGCGAGGAGGAAGGUGGUGAGCUUAAUACGCUCAUCAAUUGACGUUACUCGCAGAAGAAGCACCGGCUAACUCCGUGCCAGCAGCCGCGGUAAUACGGAGGGUGCAAGCGUUAAUCGGAAUUACUGGGCGUAAAGCGCACGCAGGCGGUUUGUUAAGUCAGAUGUGAAAUCCCCGGGCUCAACCUGGGAACUGCAUUUGAAACUGGCAAGCUAGAGUCUCGUGAGAGGGGGGUAGAAUUCCAGGUGUAGCAGUGAAUGCGUAGAGAUCUGGAGGAAUACCGGUGGCGAAGGCGGCCCCCCUGGACGAAGACUGACGCUCAGGUGCGAAAGGCGUGGGGCAGCAAACAGGAUUAGAUACCCUGGUAGUCCACGCUGUAAACGAUGUCGAUUUGGAGGUUGUGCCCUUGAGGCGUGGCUUCCGGAGCUAACGCGUUAAAUCGACCGCCUGGGGAGUACGG
rnacentral:rRNA from 1 species